AUUGAACGCUGGCGGCAGGCCUAACACAUGCAAGUCGAGCGGAGCGGCGGACGGGUGAGUAAUGCCUAGGAAUCUGCCUGGUAGUGGGGGAUAACGUCCGGAAACGGGCGCUAAUACCGCAUACUAUCAGAUGAGCCUAGGUCGGAUUAGCUAGUUGGUGGGGUAAAGGCCUACCAAGGCGACGAUCCGUAACUGGUCUGAGAGGAUGAUCAGUCACACUGGAAAUGAGACACGGUACAGACGCCUACGGGAGGCAGCGGGGGGGAAUAUUGGACAAUGGGCGAAAGCCGGAGCAAGCCAGGCGGCGGGUGUGAAGAAGGUCUUCGGAUUGUAAAGCACUGUAAGUUGGGAGGCGUUACCAGCAGAAUAAGCACCGGCGAACUACGUGCCAGCAGCCGCGGUAAUAC
rnacentral:rRNA from 1 species